rnacentral:miRNA from 1 species
UAUGGCACUAGUAGAAAUCACUG